rnacentral:rRNA from 1 species
AUGGCCGCCCUAACCCAAGGCGCCAUUGACGGGCUGCUGGGCGUCGCGGCCAAGGCGAUCACCGACGAGGCACAACUGAUCGGCGGCGUCCCCGGCGACAUGCAGUUCAUCAAGGAUGAGAUGAACAGCAUGAAUGGGUUCCUGCUGCACCUGACCAAGACGGAGGGCCAGCACGACGACCAGGUCCGCGCAUGGAUGAAGCAGGUGCGCGAGAUCGCCUACGUCGCCGAGGACUGCGUCCAGCGCUACAUCCACGACAUGGUCCCGAAUGAAGCUGCUUGUUGUAGAUCCCUGGGCGCCCUUGCCGCCAUGGCGCACCUACUCCUCCUCCACCCCAAGAAGUUUCGUCGGCUCCACACAGGGCCGUCUCCAGAAAUUUGGGGGCCCGGGACGAAAAUCGAAAUAGGGCUCUAA